GACGAACGCUGGCGGCGUGCUUAACACAUGCAAGUCGAACGGAAUGGCGAACGGAAGAGGAACAUGUGGUUGCUCUGCCUCUCACUUCAGGAUAAGCUUGGGAAACUGGGUCUAAUACUGGAUAGUGCAAGAUGCGCCCGCGUCCUAUCAGCUUGUUGGUGGGGUAGUGGCCUACCAAGGCGUCGACGGGUAGCCGGCCUGAGAGGGUGUACGGCCACAUUGGGACUGAGAUACGGCCCAGACUCCUACGGGAGGCAGCAGUGGGGAAUAUGGCACAAUGGGGGGAGGCCUGAUGCAGCGACGCCGCGUGGGGGAUGAAGGCCUUCGGGUUGUAAACCCCUUUCGGCAGUGACGCGGUACCUGUAUAAGAAGCACCGGCUAACUACGUGCCAGCAGCCGCGGUAAUAC
rnacentral:rRNA from 1 species